GACGUUGACGGAGAAGCGUUAUCCGUCGUGAUUGGGUGUAAAAACAGCUAGGCUGCUAAGUUAUUCGUUCCAGAAAGAAACUUCUUUAAGGUUUGUAGAACGCUUAGCUUAUGCUUGGGUUAGUUGGACGUUUGUAGAAUCGUAAGUGGAGCGGUAAAAUGCUUAGAUAAUUGCGGAAUUUCCGAAAUGUGGCAAGGCGACCUGCGACAACUAACCGACGCUGAACUGUUAAAGUAUAAGUAUCAAAGAGGAUUGGAGACCCUCGUAGUUUAUACCCUGAAUAAUGAAUGUCAAUUUUUAAAGUUAGCUAACGCAUGAACAUUCUGCCUGAAGAGUAAGGCCGCAAGGGCUAAAUUUAAAGAGAUUGGCGGGAGUUUAGAUAAAUGGUGGAAUAUGUGGUUUAAUUCGAUAAUCCGCGGGAAACCUUACCAGUGUACGGCGCCAAAUUAAGAUAACUAUGUGUCUAGUCUUAUCGAUAUUUGUUUCGUUUAGGUACUGCAUGGCUGUCAUCAGUUCGUAAUGUAGGUAUAUUUCGAACACAAUCUUUAAUAACUACUAGGUAGGUCAUAUUUACUGUGUGGUUUGAAACAUUGCAACCACCGGUUCUAUUUAUUGUAGUUUUUUCGUUUAUUUUUAAGUGAAUUGGGAGGAGAAGUCAAGUCAUUAUGGUCUUAAUAUGCUGGGCUACACACGUAUUACAGGGCUAAAGACAAUGAAUUUCGCCUUAAAGCGGUUAUUUUCUAAAAAUUAGCUCGGUUCGAAUCGUUCUUUGAAAUUGAGGAACGUGAAGUAGGAAUCAUUAGUAAUCGCAAAUAAGAUCGCUGCGAUGAAUCUUUAUAUACUUUGCACACACCGCCCAUCAUAUUCGAAGAGUUGUCGCGGUUUAAAGAUUUACGCUCGUCUCUUUACGCGAAGUGUAUUGUAGAUUAGUUUAUCUAAAAACGUGGUGGCGAUUUGGAUGAAGUUG
rnacentral:rRNA from 1 species